GACGAACGCUGGCGGCGUGCUUAACACAUGCAAGUCGAACGGAAAGGCCCUGCUUUCGUGGGGUGCUCGAGUGGCGAACGGGUGAGUAACACGUGAGUAACCUGCCCUUGACUUUGGGAUAACUUCAGGAAACUGGGGCUAAUACCGGAUAGCAGCUCCCGCUGCAUGGUGGGGGUUGGAACGUUUCGGCGGUUGGGGAUGGACUCGCGGCUUAUCAGCUUGUUGGUGGGGUAGUGGCUUACCAAGGGUUUGACGGGUAGCCGGCCUGAGAGGGUGACCGGCGACAUUGGGACUGAGAUACGGCCCAGACUCCUACGGGAGGCAGCGGUGGGGAAUAUUGCACAAUGGGCGGAAGCCUGAGGCAGCGACGCCGCGUUCGGGAUGACGGCCUGCUGGUUGUAAACCGCUUUCGCCUGUGACGAAGCGUGAGUGACGGUAAUGAGUAAAGAAGCACCGGCUAACUACGUG
rnacentral:rRNA from 1 species